rnacentral:rRNA from 1 species
AGUGAACGCUGGCGGUAGGCCUAACACAUGCAAGUCGAACGGCAGCACAGUAAGAGCUUGCUCUUACGGGUGGCGAGUGGCGGACGGGCGAGGAAUCCAUCGGAAUCUACUUUUUCGUGGGGGCUACCGAAGGGAAACUUACGCUAAUACCGCAUACGACCUACGGGUGAAAGCAGGGGAUCUUCGGACCUUGCGCGAUUGAAUGAGCCGAUGUCGGAUUAGCUAGUUGGCGGGGUAAAGGCCAACCAAGGCGACGAUCCGUAGCUGGUCUGAGAGGAUGAUCAGCCACACUGGAACUGAGACACGGUCCAGACUCCUACGGGAGGCAGCAGUGGGGAAUAUUGGACAAAGGGCGCAAGCCUGAUCCAGCCAUACCGCGUGGGUGAAGAAGGCCUUCGGGUUGUAAAGCCCUUUUGUUGGGAAAGAAAAGCAGCAGGUUAAUACCCCGCUGUUCUGACGGUACCCAAAGAAUAAGCACCGGCUAACUUCGUG